UUGUAAGUUGCUAAAAUUUUGAUGAUUUGCAGAUUUUAAUUUGGUGAGUUUGUGCAGGUGCCAUCAUGGUGCCAUUGAGCAUGCACAUAAUGGUACAAGAUGGCAGCUGGGUUUUAUUGUGGCAAAUGGCUGUCAAAACGGACCAAACUUGCCAAAAUUUAAUCUCCUCCAAAAUUACCUGCUUUAUGGUAUACACUAUGACAACUGCAUCCAUAUUUAGAAAAAAUGAAGAAUUCUCUUCUGGCAAUUUUGACAAUCUACCCUGUACUCUAGUACAAGGUCUUUAAAUACAUAUUAGUUCAAAUUAUAGUGGGACUCUCCCCUGGUCAGGGGUUGGGUCUCAGUAUCGUUGGUGGGCGUGGCUCUCCCACUGGGGACGUACGCAUUUACGUAAAGAGGAUCCUACCUGAGUCAGUGUUACAGAAAGACUCAAAGAUAAAGACUGGAGAUGAACUGGUAGCAGUUAAUGAUUUAAUAAUACAUAAUGUAACUAAGGACUAUGCUACUGAAGCUCUUACUAAUGUACAGGGAGCAGUGAGACUACUACUGAUACAGGACCUAUGAA